rnacentral:rRNA from 1 species
GCGAACGCUGGCCGGGCGUGCCUAAAACAUGCAAGUCGAACGAUUCCAGCAAUGGGAUAGUGGCGAACGGCGGAGUAAUUACGUGAACAACGUGCCCCAAAGACCGGGAUAGUCACUGGAAACGGUGGGUAAUACCGGAUGUGGCGAUUUUCUCUCAUGGGAGGAUCGUUAAAUGGUUUUUCGCUUUGGGAGCGGUUCACGGGCCUAUCAGGUAGUUGGUGGGAGUAACGGCCUACCAAGCCGACGACGGGUAGCGGGUCUGAGAGGAUGGUCCGCUCGAGUGGGACUGAGGACACGGCCCACACAUCCUACGGGUGGCAAGCAGUUGCGGAAUCUUGCACAAUGGGGGCAACCCUGAUGCAGCGACGGCCGCCGGUGGAGGACGAAGGGUCUAAGGCCUGUAUAACUCCUUUUCUCGGGAAAGACUUAGGACGGUACCCGAGGAAUAAGCCCCGGCUAACUACGUGCCAGCAGCCGCGGUAAGACGUAGGGGGCGAGCGUUGUCCGGAUUUACUGGGGCGUAAAGCGCGCGUAGGCGGUCCGUUAAGUGCACAAGUGAAAGCUCCAGGCUCGACUUGGAAAUUGCUUUGCAUACUGGCGGGCUGGAGGGACGCAGAGGUCUGUGGAAUUCCUGGUGUAACGGUGAAAUGUGUUGAUAUCAGGAGGAACACCCAUGGCGAAGGCAGCAGACUGGGCGUUUCCUGACGCUGAGGCGCGAAAGCGUGGGUAGCAAACAGGAUUAGAUACUCCUGGUAGUCCACGCCCUAAACGAUGGAUACUAGGCGUAAGAGGUAUCGACCACCUCCUGUGCCGCAGCAAACGCAUUAGCUAUCCCGCCUGGGGAGCUACGGACCGCAAGGUUGAAACUCAAAUGAAUUGACGGGGACCCGCACAAGCGGUGGAGCAUGUGGAUUAAUUCGAUACUAACCGAAGAACCUUACCCACUCUUGACAUUGAAGGAAAGCUCUAGAGAUUAGGGCCCUCUCCCCACAAGGAGACCUGAAAACAGAUGUUGCAUGGCUGUCGUCAGCUCGUGCCGUGAGGUUGUAUCGGUUAAGUCCGCCAUGACGAGCGCAAUCCCUCGUCUUGUGUUUACCAGCGAGUAAAGUCGGGCACUCACAAGAGACCACGGGUGUAAGGCCCGAGGAAGUGGUGGGGAUGAUGUCAAGUCAGCAUGGCUCUUACGAGUGGGGCUUCAACACAUGCUACAAUGGGCGCAACAAAGGGCAAGCAAACCCGCGAGGGGUGGAGCAAAUUCCCAAAAAAUACGUCCUCAGUUCAGAUUGCAGUCUGCAAACUCGACUGCAUGAAGGCGGAAUCGCUAGUAAAACGCAGGUCAGCUAUACUGCGUGAAUUACGUUCCCGGGUCUUGUACACCACGACCGCCCGUCAAGUCACUUGAAUUGUCUUCAACCUCCCGAAGUCCGUGGCCUAACCCGCAAGGGAAGGAAGCGGCCGAAGGUGAGGGGGGUAAGAGGGCACU